rnacentral:lncRNA from 1 species
CUACAGUCCAUGGGGUUGCAAAGAGUCAAACGUGAGUGACCACUCAUGCCUAAAGCUUAAUCUUAUUUUCCUCACUAUGGACAAUAGAGAGUCCGUAGACUCAAGAUGAGAAUGUUCAUGGCUGUCCAUUUUCAUUAUCAAGGUUGGUAACAUUUACCACUUUAUAGAGCAUUAUUGAUUUGUAUGUAGGUUGAUUCUAAAAGUUGAAAAAUAACCAUAGUGUUUAUCUUAUUAUACUUAUAGGAAUAUCUUCUCUGUUUAGCCAAGUACAUGGUAGAUUCUGUUUCUUUUUCUACUACCUGAUAUAUUCUUACUCUGCUCAAAAGAAAUCAUUCCUAACUUCUGAUGGAUUCUUUUUGGUAUUUCACCUGUUGGCUUUAUCAUGUCCUCAAGUUUUUCUAAGCUCCCUAUUAUCUAACCUAUUAAUUUCCAGGAAAUUUCUUACCUGCAGCUUUUUGGAGCCCUGGUUCAAUCUAUACCAAAUUUCUUUGGGCCUCCUUCACCCCUUUUACCUUAGAAUAUCUUCCCGUUGUUGCUUUUCUGUGAUGAUUUCAUUAACUACUGCAUCUUAAGUCUUACCCCUUUUGGGUUUACUCUCUACUUUUGUUGAAAUGUGUUCUCAAGUAAUUUUCUAUUAUAGGAGAAAAUUUGUAAGUCUGUGUAUGUCUGAAAAUUUCUUUACUCUGCUUUCACCCUUAUUUGGUAUUUUGACGAGACUUCCUUUUAUUUAUCUGCAGUGAAUGCCAUUGUUUUCAGAUCUACAUAUCACUGUUGUCCUUUGUUUUGUACUUGCAUUUUCAGAAUUCAAAACUUCUCUGAGAUUUUGAAGGAAGUUGACAGCUCCCUCUUCUGUUGUAGCCUCUGACGUGCUUUACUGGGCAGCAUCCUCUACUUUGCUUCACUACUCAAUAUCCCUUUAUAUUUUUGUCUUCAAGAAACCCACUGAAAUCUUGUGUAUUGAUGGGUUCAUCGAUUCUCUUUGUUGUAAGGAUUUGUAUCUUUUUAUUUCCUUACUAUUAAUACUAAGGAGUUUAGAGAUAAAAUUAAUCAACCUAUACUGUCAUUUUCCCCUCUGUUUUUGUUAAAGUUUGGAAUUAAAAUAGUAAUAUAUACUUAGAAUAUAAUGUUAUACUGUAACUUU